GACAGGGGUCUCGAGCGUUAAUCGGAAUUACUGGGCGUAAAGCGUGCGCAGGCGGUCCGCAAAGUCUGAUGUGAAAGCCCCGGGCUCAACCUGGGAACUGCAUUGGAAACUAACGGGCUCGAGUGUGGCAGAGGGGGGUGGAAUUCCACGUGUAGCAGUGAAAUGCGUAGAGAUGUGGAGGAACACCGAUGGCGAAGGCAGCCCCCUGGGCUAACACUGACGCUCAGGCACGAAAGCGUGGGGAGCAAACAGG
rnacentral:rRNA from 1 species